AUGGCGCUCAAGGUGGCCUCCUUCUCCCUCCUCGAGCUCUCCUCCGGCACCACCAGGAGCAGGAGCAGGAGGGGAGCCGCCUUCCGCCCCCGCCAGCACCACCGCAAAGUGGACUUCACGUUUCAAAGGAGGGACAAAAGAGCAGCCAACCUGAGGACAUGCUGCUCGAUGCAGCAGGGCCCACCGCCCGCCUGGCCUGGCCGAGCCGUCGCGGAACCCGAGAGGAGGUCGUGGGAGGGCCCCAAGCCCAUCUCGAUCGUCGGCUCAACCGGUUCCAUAGGAACACAGACAUUGGACAUCGUUGCGGAGAAUCCUGACAAGUUCCGGGUUGUCGCUCUUGCUGCUGGCUCCAAUGUCACUCUUCUAGCUGAUCAGGUGAAAACGUUCAAGCCAAAGCUGGUGGCUGUAAGAAACGAGUCAUUACUUAACGAGCUAAAGGAAGCGUUAGCUGGUUGUGAAGAAAUGCCGGAAAUUAUUCCUGGGGAGCAAGGUGUCAUAGAGGUCGCUCGCCACCCGGAUGCAGUUACAGUCGUUACGGGCAUAGUAGGGUGUGCAGGACUCAAGCCUACAGUUGCAGCAAUUGAAGCUGGGAAAGAUAUUGCGUUGGCGAACAAAGAGACACUUAUCGCAGGCGGUCCGUUCGUGCUUCCCCUUGCGCACAAGCACAAUGUGAAAAUACUUCCUGCUGAUUCAGAGCACUCUGCAAUAUUUCAGUGUAUACAAGGCUUGUCUGAAGGAUCACUUCGUCGCGUUAUUCUGACUGCGUCUGGCGGUGCUUUCAGGGACUGGCCAGUUGAGAAGCUGAAAGAUGUAAAGGUUGCCGAUGCUUUGAAGCACCCAAACUGGAGCAUGGGGAAGAAAAUCACAGUAGAUUCUGCUACUUUGUUCAACAAGGGGUUAGAAGUUAUCGAGGCGCAUUAUUUGUUUGGUGCUGAAUAUGAUGACAUUGAGAUUGUGAUUCACCCACAGUCCAUCAUACACUCUAUGAUUGAAACCCAGGAUUCAUCUGUCCUGGCUCAGCUGGGAUGGCCAGACAUGCGGCUACCGAUCCUAUACACCUUGUCUUGGCCAGACCGAGUCUACUGCUCCGAGGUCACCUGGCCCCGGCUAGACCUUUGCAAGCUGGGUUCGCUGACAUUUAAAGCUCCCGACAACGUGAAAUACCCAUCGGUGGAUCUCGCGUAUGCGGCAGGGCGGGCCGGGGGCACCAUGACGGGAGUUUUGAGUGCUGCUAAUGAGAAGGCGGUGGAGCUGUUCAUCGACGAAAAGAUCAGCUACCUGGACAUCUUCAAGGUGGUGGAGAUGACGUGCGACGCGCACCGCAACGAGCUGGUGACAAGGCCGUCGCUCGAGGAGAUCAUACAUUACGACCAGUGGGCAAGGAAGUUUGCCGCCAACCUACAGCCAUCGUCGUCCGGACGGAGCCCUGUGCUCGCCUAA
rnacentral:rRNA from 1 species